AUACGGAGGAUGCGAGCGUUAUCCGGAUUUAUUGGGUUUAAAGGGAGCGUAGGCGGACGCUUAAGUCAGUUGUGAAAGUUUGCGGCUCAACCGUAAAAUUGCAGUUGAUACUGGGUGUCUUGAGUACAGUAGAGGCAGGGGGGAUUCGUGGUGUUGCGGGGGAAUGCUUAGAUAUCACGAAGAACUCCGAUUGCGAAGGCAGCCUGCUGGACUGUAACUGACGCUGAUGCUCGAAAGUGUGGGUAUCAAACAGGAUUAGAUACCCUGGUAGUCCACACAGUAAACGAUGAAUACUCGCUGUUUGCGAUAUACAGUAAGCGGCCAAGCGAAAGCGUUAAGUAUUCCACCUGGGGAGUACGCCGGCAACGGUGAAACUUAAAGGAAUUGGCGGGG
rnacentral:rRNA from 1 species